UAUUGCUGCUAAACAUCAUCACACAUACAUAUAUAGGAAGUUAUUUUAUAUGUGUAAUGUAGUGUUUAGACUAUGUUGUUGUUAUUUAUGCCUUUUUUUUGUUAUUGUUUUAUGCUCAAAUGUCUCAUGUAUUUUAGAUUAUGCUAGUGGUUGAUUUUGCUAUACAGGUAUUCCUUAUGGUUGGUUUUAUAAAUCUACUUGUUAUGGAUAAAAUGUAUAUUACUUUUCAAAAAAAUAUUACUUUUAAAAUAUAGAAUUGAAGUUUAGGAUUUAAAUUUUUUAGUAACAAUUCAUACAUUUCAUUAAGCCGUGAGUUGGCAUAAUCUCACAAUUAAAUUAAUUUCAAUAUUGUUAAAU
rnacentral:lncRNA from 1 species